CCGUACGCACUUCAAGCAAAAACACCAAAGUAUAGACCAUCUCUUCUUUAGUACCUAAAAUAUUAGUGUAAGGGUCAAUUUCCUUAUCCAAAUUGGUUCAUACUCAAAGCACCAUAAACAAUGUCAUAAAAUAGAUAGUAUCAAAACUUAUCAAUAAAAAAAAAUUAAGAAAAAAUACAUUCAAGUCAUAUUCUUCAAAGUAAGGUUCACACACAUCUUAUUUGCAAUAAAAUAGUUUUAAGUCAAUAAUCAAUCACAUGUAUACAACAGACUCAAUGCAAUUAUGCGUAAGAUGCAUGCUCUUAUAACUAUAUGAUCCAGAUAUAAUUCCUGCCACUAAGGCAUCCACACAGAAUAUAAUUGCAAUUCGCGUCAUUAAGGUAUCCACACAGAAUAUAAUUGCAAUUCCCGCCACUAAGGCACCACACAGAUGCAUAUGUCAUGUAUGAUCAUGAAAAUACUAAAACCCGCCACUAAGACACACCAAAAAGAGAAUCAAACUUCAUAUCAUAGACACACAUAUUUCAUGAAUAAUAAGCAAGCACCAAUUUUAUAGUCCAUCAAACUUAGCUGCACAAGCAUUCAAAAUAGGAAAGCACAAUAUCACUAAAUAUAGCUAUAUGACUAUCUAGUUGCCAAAUCCUACAAAAGUGUCUCCCAAGUAUGAAUAGAAUGGCCGUAAAUGAUAAAUAAUAAGACUGUGGUAUAUUUUCUCUAAACAAUGAUUAGCCACACAUAUACUUAAACUCAGACUUCUAUUCUUUUAAGAAAGAUUUGAAGUACCGUAUCAUAAUCAUAAUAUCAUUAUUUCUAAAAUUUAUAUCAUUUUCAUAAAACUCACAUUUCCAUUUUUUUUCCUUUUUCUAAUUUAUCAAAAAUCUAACAUCUCUUUCCCUACAUCACAAGAACAUAUCAAGCAUAAUAAUAUAAAACAAACCAGUUCACAUCACAUCCACAUACACAACUUUCACAUAAAACAUAAUUAAGAAUAAUUUUUACCAUAAAAAUACAUUUUAAUUAUUUUUCUUUUUAUAAGACAAGCAUUGCUACCACUAUUUAAUGACACAGCCCUAACACUUAAUAUGGACGUAUGAGAAAAAGCCCUUACCUCGAAAGGCUUACUUCAUAACAAUAUACUUCUAGUUCCACUCAAAGAGCUAUUUGCAAGAAAGGAAGGACUCGAAACUUCAAAAAGGAGACCUAGUAUUAGGGUCUAGUAUUAGGAUCAAAGUGGAGACAAGAGGAACAAGAGAAAAAAAUAAUGAGAAGGUCUUGCCUUGGAUUUACACGCAAAUUGAAGGAAAAUAAAACUUGUGAAUUUAUUUUCAAUGAGCAAGUGAGUCAUUGAGGGAAUAUUAAAGGAGACUGAAGUUAGAGAGAUAGAUGUUAUAUAUAUAUAUGAGUGAGGGGCAGCGCCAACAUGAAGUGAAGAAAUGGGAGUAUAUCUCAAACAAGCGUUUUCUCCAAAAGGGUAUAAAAUUAAAAUGAGAGAAUUUGAGGGAGAGAAUAUGGCGUAUUAUACUGUUAUAUAUGUGUUUAGAGACAUAGGAUGGAAAGUUGGGAGAUAGUGGUGUGUGAACUGUUUUUACGGGUUAAUGUAUCAGGGGAAGUUGUGAAGGAUUGAUCGGCAUCAUUGAAUUUGGAACCAGUGAAAAGGUCAUUUACGAGGGAGAGAAAAGGUCACUAUGCUGCUAGCUAAUAUUGAAAUUGACAUGGAAAUUGUUACAAGAAUAGAAGAAUGGAGUUAAACGAAGUGGCAAUUUUCGAUAUAAAUUAGAACCCAACAUAUAUAUUAUAUAAUAUAAGCUUCGAUAAGCACGGGUAAGUGAAGGAGAAAAAUCAGUAGGAGUAUGUGUUGCUCAUGUGCAGAUAAAACUGCAAGAUAUGUGCCAAAUGACCGUUAUUGUAGAGGAGAAAAUUAAGGAAGGACUUGACACACAUAUGUGAGUGGUGGUUGUUGCUAUUAUCGAGCAAGACAUGGCUAAUAGGCUAAUUAACAAGAGUAAACAUGACUAAUGAGGGAGACGUGUCUUUGACUCAGCAAACAAAAGGGAAGCAUAUGGUCAAAUUAGUUGAAUGAAUAGAGGUCACCGCGAAAACUGUCAUCUUCUUCAAGAGGUCACCGCGAAAGACCUGCUGGAGGCUUACCAGUUUUAUGAUUUUUAGUUCAGUUACAAUUUAAUCCUCAAUUUGGUUGUUUAUGCAGACUUAAAACAUAUAUAUUGAGUGAGGUAUUUCGUAUUUAUUAUUACUAUAGACUCUUUAAAUCAUGCUCCUUAUGUUGGCGCAUACUUUAAUUGGACAUUUGGACUUCAUCUGAAUGCAUUUUGAUCAAAUGAUUCAUAGCACUUUCGGUUUACUUGAAUUGGUCUCUAAUCUUGGUUAAUCUCUUUUAUACAGAUUAUUCUUCUUCCUAAAAGUUUGUUUAGGUUAGUUUAUCAUGUUUGCUUGGAUUGGUAUCCAAAUUUUAUGCCUUGAUGCUGUUAUGGACAUAUCAAAUUUUAGUCUCGCAAUUCUGUAUUUUCC
rnacentral:lncRNA from 1 species